rnacentral:misc_RNA from 1 species
GCAGUAGCAUCACGAAUUUCACUUUGAGUGCCAUCUGAACUAGUCCGAAACCAACGGAAAACUGAAUCUCCUUCUUCACCUCCCCAAUACUUCUUGUCCACACUUAAUUGAGUUCCUUCAACAGCAAUUCCAAUUAUUUGUAGAGAGAGCAACCUCGGACUUCCAGGUCGAACCCUUUCCUGUCCCAUGCAAGUCCUUGGCUCACCUACAAUCCCAUCAUCACGCACAGGGACACAUUGGAAGGAUAUGAAUUUACCAAUUGCAUCUCUGGUAAUACGAUAUUGAAGAACUC